GUUUGAGUAGCUUAAAUAUUAAAGCGCAACACUGAAGACGUUGAUAUGGCAUAGCAGCCCACAGACA
rnacentral:tRNA from 1 species